rnacentral:rRNA from 1 species
GGGGGCCCGCACAAGCGGCGGAGCAUGCGGAUUAAUUCGAUGCAACGCGAGGAACCUUACCAAGACUUGACAUAUACGAGAACGGGCCAGAAAUGGUCAACUCUUUGGACACUCGUAAACAGGUGGUGCAUGGUUGUCGUCAGCUCGUGUCGUGAGAUGUUGGGUUAAGUCCCGCAACGAGCGCAACCCUCGUUCUAUGUUGCCAGCGCGUUAUGGCGGGGACUCAUAGGAGACUGCCGGGGUCAACUCGGAGGAAGGUGGGGACGACGUCAAAUCAUCAUGCCCCUUAUGUCUUGGGCUUCACGCAUGCUACAAUGGCCGGUACAAAGGGUUGCGAUACUGUGAGGUGGAGCUAAUCCCAAAAAGCCGGUCUCAGUUCGGAUUGGGGUCUGCAACUCGACCCCAUGAAGUCGGAGUCGCUAGUAAUCGCAGAUCAGCAACGCUGCGGUGAAUACGUUCCCGGGCCUUGUACACACCGCCCGUCAAGUCACGAAAGUUGGUAACACCCGAAGCCGGUGGCCUAACCCCUUGUGGGAGGGAGCUGUCGAAGGUGGGACUGGCGAUUGGGGCUAAGUCGUAACAAGGUAACCGUAAGGGC